rnacentral:rRNA from 1 species
GCGCGAAACCUCCGCAAUGCACGCAAGUGCGACGGGGGGACCCCAAGUGCCACUCUUAACGGGGUGGCUUUUCAGGAGUGUAAAAAGCUCCUGGAAUAAGGGCUGGGCAAGACCGGUGCCAGCCGCCGCGGUAACACCGGCAGCUCGAGUGGUAGCCGCGUUUAUUGGGCCUAAGGCGUCCGUAGCCGGUCCGAUAAGUCUCUGGUGAAAGCCCACAGCUCAACUGUGGGAAUCGCUGGAGAUACUAUCGGACUUGAGGCCGGGAGAGGCUGGAGGUACUCCCAGGGUAGGGGUGAAAUCCUAUAAUCCUGGGAGGACCACCUGUGGCGAAGGCGUCCAGCUGGAACGGACCUGACGGUGAGGGACGAAAGCCAGGGGCGCGAACCGGAUUAGAUACCCGGGUAGUCCUGGCCGUAAACGAUGCGGACUUGGUGUUGGGAUGGCUUUGAGCUGUCCCAGUGCCGAAGGGAAGCUGUUAAGUCCGCCGCCUGGGAAGUACGGCCGCAAGGCUGAAACUUAAAGGAAUUGGCGGGGGAGCACCACAACGCGUGGAGCCUGCGGUUUAAUUGGAUUCAACGCCGGACAUCUCACCGGGGGCGACAGCAGGAUGAUGGCCAGGUUGAUGACCUUGCCUGACAAGCU